GAUAUAGGGCUAAGCCCCCUUCUGAUUCAAAAUUAAGGGUUCGCUCUUCGGAAAGACCUAACCCUAAGCCUAGAUUUUGUUCCUGUAACAGCGGAUGGUGAGCGACAACGAUAAGUCCCGGCGCAAGCACCGACGGUCUUCCUCCGAUAUAGAGGAGGCUGAAAAAUCCUCAAAACGACACAAGCAUCGCCACAGCCGUCAUAGACACCAUCACCGUCAUCGCCACAGCAGCAAGAAGCAUGAAGAGGAAAGAAAAGAAGACGCUAACGAAAUAUCCCCUCCUCCAACUGUGGCUCCUCUUGCUAUUAGUUCUCGUGCGGGUGACGAUGUCGAGGAAGGCGAGAUUCUUGAGGACGAGGCUCUCAAUGAGAACAAGGCUGUUGAGACCGAUUCUCUGAAUCCGAGUAAUAGCACGGAGAAUGAUUUUUCUCAUCAAAAAGCAAUAGAUGCUGGAAUUUUGAGGAAUUUGGGUGAGGUAAAGAGUGAUUGUGGUGACGAGAAGACAUGUCAUGUUGUUGAUAAAAUUAACGUUGGGGUUGAUUUGCUAGGAAUAUCUGGUGUUCAGCAUCCAGAAGAGUUUAUUUCUGGAUCUGGUGCUGGUGAUUAUGUCAAUGGGGACUUGAAUGGUGAGAACAGUAGGAAGGACAGGCGACGACAUAAUAAAUCCACGUCUCCAAGUCAAAUUGACAAGCAGAAGAAUGAAACAGUGGAGGACAACGUGAGGACAUCAAGAGAUCAAAGAGAACCAUUGUCCUCUAAAGGUGCUGGGGACAAGUACAGAGCGUCAACACUCUCACCAUCUGAUGACCAGUACCGUUAUAUGGUUGAUGCGAAGCCUAGAUCACAGGAUUUUCCGGCAGCGAGAUCUCGUUCUUGUAGCAUAACUAAUGAUGAUUUUAUUUCAAAGAAAAGACAUUGUCAUGGUAAUGAUGUAACACUUUAUGAUGAUGACAGGAUGACAGCAAAUGAUUCUAGUGAUGAUAGAAUGAACCGUCACAGUAGGGACAAGAAUAUUGGAAGAAAGGAUAGGCGUCACAGCCAUGAGGCAGAGGACAUGGAGAAGAGUCUUGAGAAGCAUAUGGAUAGAAAUCUGAGAAGGGAAAAUGGACAAGAGAGAAGCAGGGAUGGGGAGGUUGACCAUUAUAUACGAGCGAGGAGCAGGGAUGGGGAAACAGACAGUUAUAAGAGAAAGGAGAGGGGAAGGGUAAGGGAGAUGACUAGGGACAAUGAUGUUAGCAGGGAUCGGAUAAGGGAGAAAGAAGGGGAGAGAAGCAGGGAUAGGGAGAUUGACAGGGACCGAAGAAGAAGUGAGCGGGACAGGAGUAGGGAUAGGGAGAUCAACAGGGAUCUGAGAAGGGAUGAGCGGAACAGGAGCCGGGAUAGGGAGUUUGACAGGGAUUGGAGAAGGGAUGAACGAGAGAGGUGUCGGGAUAGGGAUUGGAGAAGGGAGGAGCGAGGGAGGAGUCGGAAUAGGGAUACUGACAAGGAUUGGAGAAGAGAAGAGCGAGAGAGGAGCCGAGAAAGGGAGCUGGAGAAGGAUGGGAAGAGAGGGUUGGAAAGAGAUAUUAGGGAUGGAACCAGGGCUAGCGAGAGAGAUAGGGAUAGGGACAGGUUUAGGGAUAGGGAUAGACUUAGGGACCGGAGUUUGGAGAAUGAAGGGGGGAGUGAGAGGCGAGGUGGAAGAAAUAGGGAUAAAGGCAGGGACAUUGAGAUUGAUAGAAAUGCUGAUGUUUCUAAUAGCAAUUCAACAGGUUUUGGCAGCAAGCUUAACAGAGAUGAAGAUGAACAAGAUGAUUUUGAAGAGAUGGUUUCUUUCAAACUAGCUGAACAGGAGGAGGAAGAUCUCAACAGAAUCAAGGAAGAAAGCAGGAAGCGAAGGCAAGCCAUCUUGGAAAAGUUUAAAUGCCCGCAGUCACAGCAGCAAAUUGAGUCAUGUUCGGAGGAUAUGGAGAAAGCUAAGGAGACUGCAGAGCUUCCUGGUCGACUGUUAGGUGCUUCUGAUGUUGUUGCAGAAGUUCUUGAUGGCAGGAGUGAUGGAUCAGAUGCUAAAGUGGCUGGCCAACUAUUUGUUGUUGGGAAGUCCCCUCAAGUUAAUGAAAUUAAUGUUACUGAGAAGACAGCUGGUGAUGGGGGUCUUGGCAAGGGUACGCCAAAGAGUGAGAGGUUGGAUGACAUGUUUUGUGACGAUAUAUUUGGAGAGUCACCUGCUGGAGUUCGUAAACCGGGCAAAGGAGAUGGUCUGCCAAUUGUAAGGAGUGGUCUACAUGACAAUUGGGAUGAUGCAGAGGGGUAUUAUGGGUAUCGACUUGGUGAAAUACUUGAUGGUCGAUAUGAAGUCACUGCUGCCCAUGGAAAGGGUGUCUUUUCGACCGUUGUUCGUGCCAAGGAUAUUAAGACUGGUAAUGGUGAUCCUGGGGAGGUUGCCAUUAAAAUUAUACGCAAUAAUGAAACAAUGCACAAGGCAGGUCAACUAGAAGUUCAGAUACUAAAGAAAUUAGCGGGAGCGGAUCCAGAAAAUAAGCGGCACUGUGUUCGUUUCUUCUCAAGUUUCAAGUACAGGAAUCAUCUUUGUUUAGUUUUUGAAUCUUUAAAUAUGAACUUGCGUGAGGUUUUGAAGAAGUUUGGUCGCAACAUUGGCCUUAAACUGACUGCUGUGAGAACAUAUGCAAAGCAGCUUUUCAUUGCGCUGAAGCAUCUGAAAAAUUGUGGUGUUCUUCAUUGUGACAUAAAGCCGGAUAACAUGCUGGUAAAUGAGGCCAAAAAUGUGCUAAAGCUUUGUGAUUUUGGUAAUGCCAUGUUUGCUGGUAAAAAUGAAAUUACACCAUAUCUAGUGAGCCGUUUCUAUCGUGCCCCUGAAAUUAUUCUUGGCUUGCCGUAUGACCAUCCAAUGGAUAUCUGGUCUGUUGGUUGCUGUUUGUAUGAACUGUAUACAGGAAAAGUUCUUUUCCCGGGUCCUUCAAAUAAUGACAUGCUACGACUUCACAUGGAACUGAAAGGUCCUUUUCCGAAAAAGAUGCUUCGCAGGGGAGGGUUUACAGAUCAGCAUUUUGAUCAAGAUUUAAAUUUUCAUGCUACUGAAGAGGAUCCCGUUACUAAGAAGGCAAUCAAGAGGAUGAUUGUCAACAUAAAGCCAAAAGAUAUUGGAUCAAUAAUUACCGGCUCUCCUGGUGAGGAUCCAAAAAUGUUGGCAGGUUUUAAGGAUCUUUUAGAUAAAAUAUUUGUCUUGGAUCCAGAAAAGAGGAUAACGGUUUCUCAAGCAUUGAAUCAUCCAUUCAUCACUGAGCUUUGGACAUGGUGUUUGACAUGGUUGAAGUCAAAGGGGGUGAUUUUUGGUUGGUCUGGAGUACUCUUUACUGGCGGUUCUUUCAGUCGAGUGUACGGUUUCUAUUGUAAGCCAACCUACCGAAGGAUAUCUGCCCUGCCUUGAGGCAACCCUUCAGUGCUUAGAUGCUUAGAAGGCACCCAGGAGAAGGUACCUUGGUUUGUUUAUGUGGAGCUUAUUGUACCACCGUGCUAUCAAUAUAUAUAUAUAUAUACACACAUAUGUUGUUUUUUUUGCCUUACUUUCUAAAAUUGGUAUGCUUACAUUGAAUCUCACCCAGUUUAAAUUGUAGAAUUAAAUGAAUGCUUCUAUCUUAUAUGAAUGAUUUCUUGUGGCUAGGUGUGUGUCUGCGUCUGUAUAUGUAUUUCUGCAUAUGCUUACUUAGCAUCUGUACUUUUGAAUGUGCAUACUUUGGGUUCUCUCUUCAGCUUAUAUGAGUGUUAGAUGUCGCACUUAUGCUGGCUUCUGUUUUCCCUUGAAUUUUCUGAUGUGGUUGUGUAAAAUAUUAUGCUUUCUAUUUUGUUUUCCCUUAAUUAUCUGUAUAUUCUAAUGAAUUUGCGUACAUCUGAUUCAUGGAAUGGUCAUUGGGGAGGAACUUCUUUGGACAUGUGCUGCUCUUCAUUGAAGUGAAAGAAUAUCUUAGGGAUUCUCCGUGUGCCUCCUCUCUUGUAAGUAUUCCAUCAUUUUUGUAGUGCUGUCCCUUCUAAUACCAAUGUUCACACUGUUAUUAAAUUUGCCCUUUAUUCUUCUGGAAUUUGUUACAUAGGUUUGAUUGCAUCAUUUCUAUAUCAAAUUCUCCUUGAAAUGCAUCUAAAGUGGCUAAGGCACAUGUUACAUGACAUCCUAUUUUGCAGUUUUAUGAGGUGCAAGACUUGAGAUAUAAUGUGCAAACAAUAUCAGUUUUAAGUUUUAAAGGUUAGAAGUGUGAAUAAUUGUAAAAGCAAAAGUCUCAAGUGUAAAAGCUUGUGGUCUUGGAAGUAUGUUUUCUGUCAUGGGCUAUGACAGCCCCAUGACAUCAAGCCUCAAUUGGUGUCUGUUUGGGUGCCCUGUGAUUUUUUCCACCCUCAAAUAAAAUCUUCAAUUGGAGGGUUGGGGGUUGACUUAUGAAUCCUUAAAGAUAGUUAUUUGGAGUCAGUGUGGUUUGUCUUCCAAUCAAUCAAUCCCAUUUAACGUUACACUUCUUGCCAAUAGUUUCCCUUUCAUUACAUUUGUUUUCUGUCGUAUAAUUGUCUUGCUGAGACAAUCACUAUUUUAGAUCAAAUGUGAUGUCUUUUGAUAGGUUUAAUUGUAUCUGGCCUUGAAGUUAUUAUCUUGUCACAUUAAGAGACAGUUGUCCAUUUCCAUUUCAUUUAAGUGGAUUCAGUUCGACGAUGUGCAUCCUGUUCAAUUUCCUAGUCAUUUCGAAUUACUGACCCAUGAUACUUAGAAAUGCCACUCCUAUAUAUAGAUGAUACCCACCUCCAUUUGGCUCAAUUUUCAUCUCCCUCCCUAUCUUAUACAAACUAAUAUCAUCAAUGCAUCUUAGCCUUCAAAAGAAGAAAUUUCCUCUAUAUUUGCAUUGUCUAUCAAUUAAGACAAUGUUGCGUGUAAACAACACGUAGCUAGGGGUGCCUUCGAAGUUUUACCAGUUUAGUAAAUUUAGUUUCAAAAUAUGUUUCUGAAAUUUCUAUUUGCCAUACAUUUUUUUUUGUUUCACCUUAAAACGAUCAUUAGAGUGUUAGACCAUUCACUGCACAAGAGUUAUUUUCAUAAGUGUUGGGUAGAAUCUUCUAGGACAUUUGACGAAUUUUCCAUAUGGUUUUUUGGCAGUUUUAUUGGUAUCUUAUAGUAUAGCUUGCGUAGAUAGGUUAUUUUUAGUUUUGUCGAUAAAUGUUGUCAACAACAGGUAUAUGUGGCAGAUUAUAGUAGGUCUCUUCUCUCUUGCAUUCUGAGUUGCCCAUUUUACAUUUUCAUUCGUUCUUUGUUUUCAAAGUUGAUAAUUGGUUUGUCAUCUUUUAAAAGAAGGUCCCAUUUUUGGAAAGCUUAUUCCGUAGAAUCCCGACUAAAAACGUAUGUAUAAGAGGCCAAUAAGUUAUUCUGAUUUAAAGUCACAGUUUAAAGGCCACUAUGACUUCUAAACUUUUGUGCUCUCAUAGUGUUUCUUAGUGACUUUAAUAUGAUGUGCUCUAGGUUUCUGAUGGAAGCCUAGUUUAGGAGGGCUAAGAAUUAUAUAUGAACAUUGGUUCAAUACAAUUUCUCGGUAAAGGAUUUGAAAAUAAUCUCAACUUUAAUUUGUGAUAAUUGCAAAAAAUGCUACUUACAUCAACUCAUAAUUACGUAAAAUAUUCGAGUCAUUUGACUUAAUAUGGGACUUGACUUUUAGUAUCUAGUAUCAUUCUUAUGAAGAUUUGGUAUGUUUCCAUAUUUACUCAAAUACAACUGAGCAAGGAUAGUAAUAACAAAAUAUAUAGAAUCAAUGGCUUCUGAAUAAAGAAAUAGGACUCUAAAUCUCUCUGGUUACUGUGGUUUUGCAUAGGAUGAAGUAGUUUUUCAUCAUUCACCCCCUCUCAAGGUUCAAAUGUACAACUUUCUCAUGAUCAUCUCCUUUGUCGCCAUCUUUCUUAUGGCUUUCCUUGUUAACCCUUCAAUGAUUACCAUUCAUUCUUUCUUCGUAUUACUUGCCAUCAAAUGAUGAGACAAGCUGGUGUGGUUAGAAGUUUGGCAAUAGCCAUCAAAGCUUCUACACCUACCAUAAUGGACCAGCAUGCUGUUGUCUCUUUUUCUUCAGCUUGUCUUGUAGUUGAGCUUGAAGAGCAACUGUCGUGCAUUCUUCUACUCCCUUCAGCUCGAUUUUAGGAUCUAGACCUUGCUUGCGAAGAUAUUUCUCUAGCCAUUGCAAAGAUUGUUCAAUGCCGGUGCACCUCUUUCAAAAAUUUUGGUGGAUGGCUUGAAGAUUUGUAGGUUCCUCUAUAUGACAACAAGGAUGAUGGCGGCCUAGGUUAAAAGUGUUGGUUAUUGCACUUUAACAUGGUUUGUAUACGAGUUCUUGGUAAAAGAUGGGAAUUAUCUCAAUUUUCUUUAUUGAUAUGUGCUUGAAACCCCUACGUUACAUGAACUAGUAGUUAUAUAAUUCUAUAGAGGCUGUGACUUCAUACUGAAUUUGACUUUUAAUACCUGUUGCUUUGUUAAUAAAGACUUGAUGUAUUACCAUAAGUUUUGACGCAAUCAAGGGAAGACAAUAAUAUAAAGAAUUUAUAUUAA